UAGGGAAUCUUCCACAAUGGGCGAAAGCCUGAUGGAGCAACGCCGCGUGUGUGAUGAAGGGUUCCGGCUCGUAAAACACUGUUGUAAGAGAAGAAUGACAUUGAGAGUAACUGUUCAAUGUGUGACGGUAUCUUACCAGAAAGGAACGGCUAAAUACGUGCCCAG
rnacentral:rRNA from 1 species